UGGGGAAUAUUGGACAAUGGGGGCAACCCUGAUCCAGCCAUGCCGCGUGUGUGAAGAAGGCCUUUUGGUUGUAAAGCACUUUAAGCAGGGAGGAGAGGCUAAUGGUUAAUACCCAUUAGAUUAGACGUUACCUGCAGAAUAAGCACCGGCUAACUCUGUGCCAGCAGCCGCGGUAAAUACAGAGGGUGCGAGCGUUAAUCGGAAUUACUGGGCGUAAAGCGAGUGUAGGUGGCUCAUUAAGUCACAUGUGAAAUCCCCGGGCUUAACCUGGGAACUGCAUGUGAUACUGGUGGUGCUAGAAUAUGUGAGAGGGAAGUAGAAUUCCAGGUGUAGCGGUGAAAUGCGUAGAGAUCUGGAGGAAUACCGAUGGCGAAGGCAGCUUCCUGGCAUAAUAUUGACACUGAGAUUCGAAAGCGUGGGUAGCAAACAGGAUUAGAUACCCUGGUAGUCCACGCCGUAAAACGAUGUCUACUAGCCG
rnacentral:rRNA from 1 species